rnacentral:lncRNA from 1 species
CAAAAGUCAAAACCAGUGAGUUUUAGUUUUUUUUUUCCCUUUUCUAAUUAAUUAAUUCGGUUAAGGUUAUUGUUAAUUUUAAUACUGUUAACUGUUAAGCUAAUUUUUUUGACGUUUCUUCCUCAGUCUCCAGACUCUCCACUGGAUCACGAUCAACACAGUCGGUGACUCGGUGUUUGAGUGUUUCUUCCUGAUCAGCCUCU